UGCCACUUCCUCAGGCAGCAGACGGCAUUAUGAGUGGGCCGAGAGAACUUGGGGGAUCUGACUGGCCUCUCCACUCCUCAAGUUUUCUCUAUUUCUUUAACCUGUCUGCUGUAGUCUAAAUGUCUGUGUCCCCUCGAAAUUCAUGUAUUGAAGCUUUCAUUCCCAAAGUGAUGAUCUUCAGAGGAGGACACAGCCAUCUGAAUCCACUAAGAGGGCUCUUACCAGAACCUGCCAUGCCGUCCCCCUGCUCCUGAAUUCCCAGCCUCAGAACUGUGAGAAAUAAAUGUCUGUUAUUUAAGACCCCCAGUCUGUGACUGUCUGUGAUAACAUCAGCUGGCGAGGGCACUGUCCCUUGCUUUGAAUGUGCUUCUCAUAAUUGAAUGUGGCUCUUGGUGGAUCAGCCAUGGUUCCAGGAUUAAGUCCCUCAUUGGGCUCCCUGCCCAGCGGGGAGUCUGCUUCUUCCUCUGCCCCUCACCCUGCUCAUGCUC